UAGUGGCAGACGGGUGAGUAACAUGUAGGUAUCUGCCCUUUGGCCUGGAAUAACACGAGGAAACUUGUGCUAAUACCGGAUAAGUCUUUACGGAGAAAGCUUUAUGCACCAUUGGAUGAGCCUGCACUUGAUUAGUUUGUUGGUGGGGUAAUGGCCUACCAAGACUGUGAUCAAUAGCUGAUUUGAGAGGAUGAUCAGCCACAUUGGGACUGAGACACGGCCCAAACUCCUACGGGAGGCAGCAGUGGGGAAUCUUGCACAAUGGAGGAAACUCUGAUGCAGCGAUGCCGCGUGAGUGAAGAAGGCCCUUGGGUUGUAAAGCUCUUUCGUCGGGGAAGAAAAUGACUGUACCCGAAUAAGAAGGUCCGGCUAACUUCGUGCCAGCAGCCGCGGUAAUACGAAGGGACCUAGCGUAGUUCGGAAUUACUGGGCUUAAAGAGUUCGUAGGUGGUUGAAAAAGUUAGUGGUGAAAUCCCAGAGCUUAACUCUGGAACUGCCAUUAAAACUUUUCAGCUAGAGUAUGAUAGAGGAAAGCAGAAUUUCUAGUGUAGAGGUGAAAUUCGUAGAUAUUAGAAAGAAUACCAAUUGCGAAGGCAGCUUUCUGGAUCAUUACUGACACUGAGGAACGAAAGCAUGGGUAGCGAAGAGGAUUAGAUACCCUCGUAGUCCAUGCCGUAAACGAUGUGUGUUAGACGUUGGAAAUUUAUUUUCAGUGUCGCAGCGAAAGCGAUAAACACACCGCCUGGGGAGUACGACCGCAAGGUUAAAACUCAAAUGAAUUGACGGGGACCCGCACAAGUAGUGGAGCAUGUGGUUUAAUUCGAAGAUACGCGCAGAACCUUACCAACACUUGACAUGUUCGUCGCGACUCUAAGAGAUUAGAGUUUUCGGUUCGGCCGGACGAAACACAGGUGCUGCAUGGCUGUCGUCAGCUCGUGUCGUGAGAUGUUGGGUUAAGUCCCGCAACGAGCGCAACCCUCACUUUUAGUUGCCAUCAUUAAGUUGGGCACUCUGAAAGAACUGCCAGUGAUAAGCUGGAGGAAGGUGGGGAUGACGUCAAGUCCUCAUGGCCCUUACGUGUUGGGCUACACACGUGCUACAAUGGUAUCUACAACAGGAAGCAAGACUGCGAAGUUAAGCAAAUCCCUAAAAGAUACCUCAGUUCGGAUUGCACUCUGCAACUCGAGUGCAUGAAGCUGGAAUUACUAGUAAUCGUGGAUCAGCGUGCCACGGUGAAUGCGUUCCCGGGUCUUGUACACACCGCCCGUCACACCAUGGGAGUUGGUUCUACCUUAAGGCAAGGUUUCAAACCCUUGACCACGGUAUAGUCAGCGACUGGGGUGAAGUCGUAACAAGGUAGCCGUAGGGGAACCUGCGGCUGGAUUACCUCCUUUCU
rnacentral:rRNA from 1 species